rnacentral:rRNA from 1 species
GUGAGGAAUAUUGGUCAAUGGGCGAGAGCCUGAACCAGCCAAGUCGCGUGAAGGAAGAAGGAUCUAUGGUUCGUAAACUUCUUUUGCAGGGGAAUAAAGUGCAGGACGUGUCCUGUUUUGUAUGUACCCUGAGAAUAAGGAUCGGCUAACUCCGUGCCAGCAGCCGCGGUAAUACGGAGGAUCCGAGCGUUAUCCGGAGUUAUUGGGUUUAAAGGGUGCGUAGGUGGUUUGAUAAGUCAGCGGUGAAAGUUUGCAGCUUAACUGUAAAAAUGCCGUUGAAACUGUCGGACUUGAGUGUAAAUGAGGUAGGCGGAAUGCGUGGUGUAGCGGUGAAAUGCAUAGAUAUCACGCAGAACUCCGAUUGCGAAGGCAGCUUACUAAGCUACAACUGACACUGAAGCACGAAAGCGUGGGGAUCAAACAGGAUUAGAUACCCCAGUAGUCC